CCUACGGGAGGCAGCAGUGGGGAAUAUUGGGCAAUGGGCGCAAGCCUGACCCAGCAACGCCGCGUGAAGGAAGAAGGCUUUCGGGUUGUAAACUUCUUUUAAGAGGGAAGAGCAGAAGACGGUACCUCUUGAAUAAGCCACGUCUAACUACGUGCCAGUAGCCGCGGUAAUACGUAGGUGGCAAGCGUUGUCCGGAUUUACUGGGUGUAAAGGGCGUGUAGCCGGGCUGACAAGUGAGAUGUGAAAUCCCGUGGCUCAACCACGGAACUGCAUUUGAAACUGGCGGUCGUGAGUAUCGGAGCGGCAGGCGGAAUUUCUAGUGUAGCGGUGAAAUGCGUAGAUAUUAGGCGGAACACCAGUGGCGAAGGCGGCCUGCUGGACGACAACUGACGGUGAGGCGCGAAAGCGUGGGGAGCAAACAGGAUUAGAUACCCGUGUAGUC
rnacentral:rRNA from 1 species